UGUAAAAUCUUAGUGGCGGACGGGUGAGUAACGCGUGGGUAACCUGCCUUACACUGGGGGAUAACACUUAGAAAUAGGUGCUAAUACCGCAUAACAGGAGAAGACGCAUGUCUUAUCCUUGAAAACUCCGGUGGUGUAAGAUGGACCCGCGUCUGAUUAGCUUGUUGGCGGGGUAACGGCCCACCAAGGCGACGAUCAGUAGCCGGCCUGAGAGGGUGAACGGCCACAUUGGGACUGAGACACGGCCCAAACUCCUACGGAAGGCAGCAG
rnacentral:rRNA from 1 species